AAUAAAUGCCUUCUGGACUGAAUUCAGGUGGGAGAAAUAAAAGGAAAAUGCAAGCCGUGUUUAGGAAACGAAUAAUUCUCUGCAACAAUCAAGACCAAUUGCAUUAAGACAAAAAGUUUACAAAAUGACAAGAUCAUUACAUAAUUUAUAACUCUGUUGAUAGAGUACCUAUACAAGUAACACUAAGUAUGUAUAAUGAGCACACUGUACAUACUUCAAAAUUUGCCCUUUAAUUGUAUUCUAUGGUAGCCCAUUUGAUUAAUAUGGUCAACAUUAGUGUAAAUUGGCAAAGCAACUACUACAUGUGUAAAC
rnacentral:lncRNA from 1 species